GGGAAGCUGGAAAAGGAAAUCCCUGUUGCUUAAAAGGGAGAAGUUUUAGUUAUGGAUUGUCUGCUGUAAAGCAAGUGGAAAGAUUUAAAAAACAAAACAAAAAAAAACCUACAAUGGAGCUGAGAAUGGGAGUGGAGUGGAUCAAAUGAAGUUGCUUUGAAGAAAUGACUUUAAUGUGAAAGGAAGUUGUUCAGUGCAGAAUGUGACUGAGGAGUGGUAGAUGGAGGAGGCUCCGAACUCACUGCAUGCAGCUCAUGGUCUCAGGUUAAUUUAGGUCAGCUGAGAUACAACACUGGACAAAGAAUGCUGUCGUUCUGUCCGGAGUCAGAAUUGUUAAGGUUGGGAGGAUCUCUAAGAUCACCUGGUCCAACUGUCAACCCAUCACUGCUGUUUUUGGAGUGAAGAUGAAAUGGUGCCAAGCUGGUACCAGCAGCUGUGCACAAAUUGUCCUUUAUCUGGGAGUGUGCAAACACCAGAACUGCAGUGCAAAACACUCCUGAAUUUCAGGUUUGGCUGAAGUCUGAUGUAGACCUCGUGGUCAUUCUGGUCUUCAGCUAGCACUGAGCCCCUGAUCCUUUGCCUCCACUGAUUUUGGGAGAUAUGGAUCUGCGCUACUUCUCCUCCAGGGCAAUGAGGGAGAGCAAGAGAACACUGAAAUGCCAACUCCUAAACAAACAUCUCUGGACCUUGGCUCUGUUGCUCUGAAGCAGAGAUGGAUCCAGGUGUCUGGUUCUGUCACCCAUCAAGGUACCUGCUCUGCCAGAAGUCUUUGGCCCAUAUCUGUGGGGAAAAUGAAUACACAGCACAACAGCUGGGAGCCCAUCUUAAAGCAGUGCUGUGAGCUAAAACACUGCACAGGCAGUUAUCUUUGGUGGAAUAUGAAUGAACCAGAGCUCAAAAUCUUGGCUUGAACCAAGGGCAGAGGUAGAAGAUGCCUCAUUUAGCCUGAGGAAUGCUUCUGACAGACACAUUGCUGCCACAUGGCUUGGCUGGGAAAAGAAGCUGUACCUCUCUAGUGAAUGGAAAGAUUUCACCGAAAUCCUGCUGUAGGAACACCAGGUUGUCUCUUGAUUGCUUGUAGUCCAGCAAUGAGAAAGAAACUCACAGCUCAUUCAAACUUGCUAAUGGAAAAAAUCACACUUAACUCUAUCUUGUGGUCUUGUGUGAGUCACAGCAACGUUUGGUGCUUAUCCUUGAGUGGAAAGGUUCUGGAGGGGAGGAGCUGUGGUGUUAUUUUUCCAGAGAGCUGAUUUUUUAGCUCUGCCCAAUUUGGGAAGUGGGGCUAUCACUGUCUUGCUGUUAUCACCCUUUCAGCAAGGCAGAUAGCAGCCAGCACAUUACUCACCAUUACCCCAUAGCUAUCUGUUUUCUGAUUAUGUGUUACAAGAAGUGGCAGCCAAAGCUGCAAAGCCUCUUCAGCACUGGCUGAAGCCACCUCCUAUGGGCUGUGAUGCUCUUGUCCUCGUCACCUGCCCUGGAGGCUGUGAGCCUUGGUGACUCUGCUCUGUUGGCACUCCAUUAGCCACUUCUCCUGGGGGUUAAUGUGUGGGGAGGCUAUAAGCUGUGCUGCAAAUAAGUUCUCUGACUUACCAAAACUGCAAUAAUGAGGGAACUUCUUUAUAGUUAGAAAAAAAGCAGCUCUCAACCUGUUGCUUCCUUCUUCCUGACAGCUGGCUCUGAGGCACCAUGAAGGUAUUUAACCUCUUACUGCCACUUUGAAGCUCUGCAUAGGGUUUCAGUGGCUGCACAGGAAAUUCUUACAGCUGCAAAACAGCACUAAGAUGGGGCCAUUCAGUACAGAGAAGCCACCGACUUCUCGUUGCAUGAUGCAGUGUGGAGUGCAGACCAGCUUGCCUUGCGCUCAUCUGGGUUUGCUUUGCUGUGUGCUCAUGUGUGUUAGAGUUGUGGGUCUGCAAGAGCAGCUAAUGUUCCUGUUUUUUGGAAGCAUUUGCUCUUUUGGUGCUGGAUUGAACCUAAGAUCGUGCUCUUAACGUGUUCUGUCAGGAUAAAAAUGAAAGUUUCUGGAAGAUAGGCUAGGAGCUUUCUCUGUAGUUCUGCAGAAUGCACAGAACUCCUAGCAGAGGUAAGCUUCACUGGGGUGAUGGGAGAAGAUGGGGUGAGAAAGCACCUGUCGUUUCCCCUAGGCAUGAUAGAGAGGUUUUAGGAUUGCACAGGACUGUCCUGGGCCAUGUUGCUGGGCUUGUUGGGAAUGUGAUGAAUGCAAAAAACACAUCCUGCAGAGAAGCUCUUAGAUUUUCUUUUUUAAAUAAAAAAUAGGAUUCCUGCUUUAACCUGCAAAGACAUGGAGGUGAGAAAGCUUGAAGAGCUAUUAAUGCCACCAGGUUGGUUUGGUAGGAGCGGAAGCAGAAGGUCACAUUUGUUCAAUGUGGUGCUUGGCAAAGUGCUUUGUGUGAUCACCUUUGAGUCUGUCCCAGUGCUAAAUGUCCCCUUCUGGGACAGUUUGUGUGUAUGUGUAUAGAGGAGAAUGGGGACAGAAGGGAAGCGGUGUUCGUUCAUAGCUGUCAAGGAGGAUGGAAGAUUGACAAUUCUUGUCUCACAAAAGGGUAAGUGAUGCUGAACUCUCCUUAGACCGAUUCCAGUUGAACACAAAGCAUUUUAACCUCUUAAUCCUCACUUCUGAAUUAUAGCUCAGACAUUCAGGGCUUUGUGGCUUUUUGGAGCUUCUCGCCUGUGUGUGACCCUGGUCCCAGGCAAAUAGUAGGGCAGCCUGACCAUCGCUCAGUGCAUGCUGAGUGCUGAGCAGAAGUGCUCAUCCUGUGAUCUCCUGGCUUGUUUGCCUCCCUGUCUGACUCUGAGGGGAAUUCAUGGGAAUCCUCACUGGGAAAGAAGCAAACCUGAAGUGACUGUAGAUGUAAAAUGUCAUUUCCCACUAUGAUUUGAGGAAUCUGAACCUGAUUUUUAUCUCGCCCUUCUAAGGAGACCUCCUCAUCAAAUGCUGAAAAGCUCCUCCAUGUUUCCCUGUGUGCAGACCUCAAUGACUGCAUAUCAAUAGAGGUGACACAUACGAAUGCACUAUUUCCCUUUUGGCCUUAUUUGCAUUAUUUUUGGUUUUCAUGUUUGGGCUCUGGCAUAAAACCCAGCAGAGAGCCUCUCAUUUAGUCAAGGCCAUUUCAGCAUUCAUUGCAGAUGAGCAUGGUGCUCCAGGGAGCCAGUUGUAUACUGGGCUUUGCCAGUGAUUCAUUUCUGGACGCUGCCUGAGUGAUUCCCUCUGGGCCUCAGUUUCCUGUUCUGUAGAAUGGAGAUAAUACCCGUUUAUGGCCCAGGGCUGCUUUGAAGCCUUUACAAAGUUAGCGAGUGUGUGUUUGGAUGAAAGUUGUUUUUUUUUUUUUUUUUUUUUUGAAAAGCAGAUUCAAAACAAGAAGUGCAGCUUUCAUUCAGGAGCUUGUAUGAAAUGACCAGGACUGCAGAAUUCCUGCCCGGGAUGAAUGUGCCUGUGCUGAGCACUGAAACAAACAUCAUGUAACUCUUCUAAAAGCACCCACUGUUGUUGCUCAUGGCAGGGUUGGCUGCUAUUCAUUCUUUUUUUGUUUAUUUUAUGUAAAUCCUUUUUCCUUCUCAUUGAAAACACAAACAAAAAAAAAAAAGGGAGGGGGGAAAGACAAAAAAUAGAGAAUUUUGUUCUGUAAGCCCCAUAAAAUCGAUUCAUCGCGACGAAGGUUUUAAUGGUGCCAACCCUCUGCUUGUGUCUAAAAGAAAUUCCCCUCUUUCUCCCAACUGUCACAUGAUGGGGGAAGACGUGGAAGCAGAAAUGAAAGAGGUGCAGACUUGUCCCUUUGCUUUUCUCACCCAGUUCCCUUUAUGUGUGCUCUCCCACCCCCUCCACCUCCCUCCCUCCCUCCUGCUCUGCCUCAGUUCCCAUUGAAAUGUCAAAUGCAGCAGUUGUCUGCGAGUGAAAGAGGGGUUCCCUGGUGGGAACGGGCUGCCCUUCUAACCUGGAGGCCUCGGCUCUUCUCUUCUCCCUUUUUGGUGUUUCCCAUCCCACUUUCUCAGCAGAUGUUGUGUGGCUAUAAAGGAAUGAGUUUCUUUUCACCUGGCCAUGUGAAUGGGCUGGCACAGAAACACGCGCUCAUUCUCUCAGGCUCUGGCAACAGCUUACACAGAAAGAGAUUUGUUUCUAAGAGCCGUCUUUUUUUAUUCUUUCUUCCCUUUUUUCUUCCCCCCCUUUUUUUUUUUUGUUUUUAAGAAGGAGAUAGGGAGGAAAAAAAGGCGGAGAGAGAAACUGGCUGUAUUUUAAGCUUCCUCCUUGGGUGCCAAAGGAGCCCUUGGAGUUUUGUUUCCACCACUUUUGUUCCUUUUAUAGCUGGGAUUCAAGCCGCAGGCUUUCAGCUCCCCUUUGUCUUAGCCCUGCUUUUCCCAAGCAGUUGACAUGAGAAUUGUACGGCAGGAUGGAGGUUCAGCCAGGAGCACAGCCUCUGCUUUAGUCUGGGGCUGAAGUGUUCAACUCUCUCAGCGGCUGACUUGUGCAAGUUAGCGAGUGUGUGACAUUUCAUGUGCUUUCUGCAGGAAAAAGAUUUACUUUCAAAAGAGUUCUGCCCAAAAAUAUGUGGCAGCGUGGUGCAAAAAUGCUCAAACUAUCUUUGUGGUGGUGUUUUCUUUUUUUGUCGCUCUGCUAGUUGAGAUAGCAGAAGCAAAUUUCAAGUCAGUGAAACAGAGGUUGGGGAGGUUUUCAUGCUUUUUCCUUUCUUUCUCCCAUUUCUGCCUUCCUGGUGUUGCUAGGUGCCCUCUGCUCUUUAUCACUGCACUGUGAAUUUAGGCUUGGUCAACCGAAGAGCAGCAGAGAGGUACCGAGGAGAGAUGCUCUCCUCCCAGUGCUGUUGGCUUCGUGCAGCCUGUGUUUGGCCAGGUCUCUUUUCAGAACCCAUUCAUCAUAUUGAGGCUUGGUGGAUAUUCAGGAGCAAAUGACAGUACCUGAGAUCAGGAAUCAUUUGAUCUCAUCCCACCCUGGUGAGACAAAUGCACAUGCUGAGCCUGAAAAAUGGACUUGUCGUUUACUGAUUUAAUGAGUAAAUAAUGAACCAUUCUGAAAAUACUGCUGGGAUAUUAUGCCAGUGCUUCUCUCUGAGUAUUUACACACACUUUAACUCCAGUUGUUUUUUGCUGUGUGUGUGGUUUUUGAAAAAUUUGAAGUUUAUUUUUACAGUGGUGCUUGGAAGGCAGUAAAUAAUCCGCAAGGAAUUAACAGACAAAAGUCUCUGGCUCUGCUCCACCCUACUGAAGGCAAAGGCAGAACUCCCAUUUACUUCAGUGGAAGUAAGAAGUAGGGCCUGUGAGUGUAAAAGAUCAAUUACUUUUAUGAUCAGGAUAUCUUUGCAAGUGUUGGUCUUUGUCCUUUAUCUGACUGAGGUCAUAAAUGAAUCACGAGCAUCUUCUGAGGUGAAAUACAGACCUGUGAAAACAAAACAUCCACAUCUGAAAGUUUUUGGUAGGUUUUUUGAUAAUAUUUUGGAAAGCUGAGCUCGGUGUGUUUGAGAUGUUGAACUGACUCUCCAUCCAUCCAUCACGUAGUCAGCAUUUCACUUCUCCCAUUUGUACGAAGUGCCAUUUUUGGAGAUGUGGGACUAGGAGAGUCUCAAGUUGAACCUCCUGCCUGGAGAAAUGAGCACAAGACACAUCCUUGACAAAAGCAAAUGGGGAGGAGGUGGCUCAUGCCUGCACGCAUGGUGCUUGUGGUUAGGAGUUUACAGAAGCAUUUUUCUUUGCCUGUUCUGGUGCAGCCAGUGAUGUUAUUCUUGUAAGAAAUAGGAUGAUAUAACUAACUCAAAGGUAUAGUUCUUAUUUACUUCUGUCAGUGGGCUCUAAAUGACCUCAUGAAGGAAGCAAAUACCACUGUCUUGAGUUUCAGAUGGGAACCUGAGGCUCUACUGCAUGGCCAAAUACGUAAGGACAGGGUUCAGCCUUUAUCUAAGUCCUCUCCAGCAUCUUAUCCUCUGCCUUUUAAAAGCUUUAUCCCUAAAAUGUGUCUUGAGCAAAGGACUCUGUAUUGUAGUUUUCCUAUUGAUUCCUUUCCUGGAGUUUAUGCCUUUUGGAGGAGAUGGGGCAUUGCUAAUUGCUUCAGCUGUUCUUGACUGUUACAGGGCACUUGAGCAGAACUGUGCGGCCUGAGCGUUUGUACUUUGUAAAAUAACCCUUCAGCCCCGCAGAAUGGAAGGAUUAGCAAGUUUAGCCUCCUUGAUUCAUCUUGAAUUAUUCUCUACACCAUCUUCGUCUGUGGUGCAGCGUAGCUGAAAGUAAGGCAGGGCUGCCACUAGAUUAGCUCAAGAUGAGUGCCACAGAAAUAAAGUGCUAUUGUCGCUCUUCAAGCAGUGACACUGACCGAAAUAAAGGACAUCUGGGUAGGAAACAACCGCCUGCUAUCCAUGGUGUACCCCAGCUUGCCAUGAAUGCUGGCUGUGCUAGGCAACCAGCAAAGGGAGCUGCAGGCAGCUGUAAGCCAGGCCAAAAAGGGAGAGAAAGAAAAGACCAACCCUGAGAAAGAGGGGUGCGUUCUUCCUUGCCAUGCUCUGAGCUGGAAGUCUUUUUAUUCUCAUCUUUUGUUGCGUUUUUCCCCUUCCUUUUCAUGCCCCAGCAGUGGGUCUGGGUGCAGGGGAGCAUUGGGUGGUCACGUCCUACCCCUCCUGUGGGUCGUGGGGGCUGUGGUUUGGGGAUUCUGUACAGCUGUGUGAGUGGGGUCAGGUUGCAGUGCUGUUUGUGACCCAUGGAAGGAAGGGAGGGUGACACCCAUGGCUCCCUGAAGGAUGUGGGUCUGACUCUGGGUGUUGCCAGAGCUAUAGAUUCACCUAUGGGUAAGCAGCUAGCCACAGAGUACAAGCCUUUUUGAGGCAGCUGGUGGUUGAUGUGGACUAUUCAAUGCUUAGUCUCCAACCAAUUUUUCCGGUCUGAUGCUUUGAAGAAGGCAGUGGUGGGCAGAAAGAUGCCAAACGGCUUGCCCAAGGUUUGAGGAGAAGCCUGUGGCAGAGGGGAUGGAUGGACAGUGGGACUGUAGCAUUGGCCCUGAGGCUGUGACAAAGUGGGAGUGGGAAGUGAGAGCAGGGAUGCUCUCCCUUUGGUGAUGAUCUCACCUCUCAAAUGUAUUUUUAUGCUGUUUCUUUUUUCUCUGUUUCCCUUUGCCCCCUGAAGAGCUGCUGCCCUGUUAGAAAGGUUUUGUCUCCCUGCUUCCUUUAUCAUAAUGUGUGAAUUUGCAGGCAGUUAGUUCCCAAAAUACGUAUCAAAACUCUCAAUUUGAAUAAUCAUUGUUUCUCUCAGAUGCCUUCCAUCUUUAAGCACUGGAGCAGUGCUAUCCCACAGAGAUUGGGGUGCUGGCAGCACCCCAGGGCCCUCCUGUCCUUUGGCACAGGUUGAGGUUGAAUGUGGGGAGGGCUGCCAGCAGGGCCAGCUGUAGCUAAAGAAGCAGCCUCCAGAGGGAGAGAAGGCUUUCUCUCUCUCUCUCUCAGGCUUUUACAACCAAUGCUCAAAGUGAAAUGCAUUUAGAGAAGAAAAGGCUGGGCUUUCUGGCUGUACAAGACCCAGCCCUGCAAAUCUGCUCAGUAGCUUCACUGCCUUUGAUGCUUCUUUGGUUUGAUCUUUCCCUUUGCUCCUGCUGAUGGCUGGGGACUAUAGAGCUGUGCCUGGGAUGAGGAAUCUCACCUAAAUGGAUGCAGGUCUGAGGAUCUUUUUUGGUCAGAGAUGCAUCAUCCCCAUGUGCAAUAGGACAAACAUACAACAGAAAACAAAUGGAGAACUCUUUACUUCCAACAAGGAGCUGGCUCGUUAAAGACAAUGAGAGGUUUGCAGCACCAGCCCUAGCAACAGCACUGAAAGUUAUCCCAAACAUGUAAAUGAAGCGAGCUCCAGCGAUGGGAAGCCAAGCCACCAUGAACCCACUGCAUCAUGCUGUUAAUACAAAGAGGGGCCUCAAUUAAUUAAACUCUUACAGGGUGACGCAAAAGCAUCAGAAGAAAUUUGCGGUGCACGUAAAGACAAAGCGUGUUGCACCAUACCUAAUUGCCAGAAUAAUUAUUUUCUGCUAUGCAAAUUAUCAUGAACAAAUUCACUGCAGCUCAUUUGCGUGUAUUUAAUUAUCAUCAAGAGCUGGGGUUGAGGGACUAGAUUUAAUAUGUUUGUAAUGAAAUAGCAAGAACUGUGUGUGUGUGUUUGCAGAGAACUCGUUAUUUUACCACAGCUGGAUUUGUUUAUUUUAAAUAAAUCGUUAUGGCAGAUACA